rnacentral:sRNA from 1 species
AAAGAAGAGAGAAGUGGUGAAGAGAGGAAGAAGAAGAAAGAAGACG